rnacentral:rRNA from 1 species
CGUAGGGUGCAAGCGUUAAUCGGAAUUACUGGGCGUAAAGCGUGCGCAGGCGGUUAUGUAAGACAGAUGUGAAAUCCCCGGGCUUAACCUGGGAACUGCAUUUGUGACUGCAUAGCUAGAGUACGGUAGAGGGGGAUGGAAUUCCGCGUGUAGCAGUGAAAUGCGUAGAUAUGCGGAGGAACACCGAUGGCGAAGGCAAUCCCCUGGACCUGUACUGACGCUCAUGCACGAAAGCGUGGGGAGCAAACAGGA